GUAAUACCCGGCUAGACUCCGGUAUCGGAAUUCCUACCGUCCGGUGGAAUCUCGGGUGUCGGAGACCUCUAGAAGGGUAAAAGCAUAUUUUCAUGAAAUGUUUUAAUGUAUUUGAUGAUUUUAAGUAAAAAGGAAAAUGAGUUUUUGCAUGAAAACAACCUUGGAGGAAAACUCAGGUUCGGCCGCCGAAACUCGAGUUCGGCC
rnacentral:lncRNA from 1 species